GCGGAAGUUUUCGGAUGGAAGCAAUAAACCUUAGCGGCGGACGGGUGAGUAACGCGUGGGUAACCUGCCUCAUACAGGGGGAUAACAGUUAGAAAUGACUGCUAAAACCGCAUAAGCGCACAUUGUCGAGUGACAGAGUGUGAAAAACUCCGGUGGUAUGAGAUGGACCCGCGUCUGAUUAGCUAGUUGGUGAGGUAACGGCCCACCAAGGCGACGAUCAGUAGCCGGCCUGAGAGGGCGACCGGCCACAUUGGGACUGAGACACGGCCCAAACUCCUACGGGAGGCAGCAGUGGGGAAUAUUGCACAAUGGGGGAAACCCUGAUGCAGCGACGCCGCGUGAGUGAAGAAGUAUUUCGGUAUGUAAAGCUCUAUCAGCAGGGAAGAAGAAAGACGGUACCUGACUAAGAAGCCCCGGCUAACUACGUGCCAGCAGCCGCGGUAAUACGUAGGGGGCAAGCGUUAUCCGGAUUUACUGGGUGUAAAGGGAGCGUAGACGGCUGUGCAAGUCUGAAGUGAAAGCCCAGGGCUCAACCCUGGGACUGCUUUGGAAACUGUGGAGCUAGAGUGCUGGAGAGGUAAGUGGAAUUCCUAGUGUAGCGGUGAAAUGCGUAGAUAUUAGGAGGAACACCAGUGGCGAAGGCGGCUUACUGGACAGUAACUGACGUUGAGGCUCGAAAGCGUGGGGAGCAAACAGGAUUAGAUACCCUGGUAGUCCACGCGGUAAACGAUGAAUACUAGGUGUUGGAGAGCAAAGCUUUUCGGUGCCGUCGCAAACGCAAUAAGUAUUCCACCUGGGGAGUACGUUCGCAAGAAUGAAACUCAAAGGAAUUGACGGGGACCCGCACAAGCGGUGGAGCAUGUGGUUUAAUU
rnacentral:rRNA from 1 species